rnacentral:rRNA from 1 species
AUUGAACGCUGGCGGCAUGCCUUACACAUGCAAGUCGAACGGUAACAGGUCUUCGGAUGCUGACGAGUGGCGAACGGGUGAGUAAUACAUCGGAACGUGCCUAGUAGUGGGGGAUAACUACUCGAAAGAGUGGCUAAUACCGCAUGAGAUCUACGGAUGAAAGCAGGGGAUCGCAAGACCUUGUGCUACUAGAGCGGCCGAUGGCAGAUUAGGUAGUUGGUGGGAUAAAAGCUUACCAAGCCGACGAUCUGUAGCUGGUCUGAGAGGACGAUCAGCCACACUGGGACGGAGACACGGCCCAGAGCCCUACGGGAGGCAGCAGUGUGGAAUUUCGGACAAUGGGCGCAAGCCUGAUCCAGCAAUGCCGCGUGCAGGAUGAAGGCCUUCGGGUUGUGAACUGCUUUUGUACGGAACGAAAAGACUCUGGUUAAUACCUGGGGUCCAUGACGGUACCGUAAGAAUAAGCACCGGCUAACUACGUGCCAGCAGCCGCCGCUGUAA